UAACAUGCAGUCGAACGAUGAACCACUUCGGUGGGGAUUAGUGGCGAACGGGUGAGUAACACGUGGGCAAUCUGCCCUUCACUCUGGGACAAGCCCUGGAAACGGGGUCUAAUACCGGAUACCACUACCGCAGGCAUCUGUGGUGGUUGAAAGCUCCGGCGGUGAAGGAUGAGCCCGCGGCCUAUCAGCUUGUUGGUGAGGUAAUGGCUCACCAAGGCGACGACGGGUAGCCGGCCUGAGAGGGCGACCGGCCACACUGGGACUGAGACACGGCCCAGACUCCUACGGGAGGCAGCAGUGGGGAAUAUUGCACAAUGGGCGAAAGCCUGAUGCAGCGACGCCGCGUGAGGGAUGACGGCCUUCGGGUUGUAAACCUCUUUCAGCAGGGAAGAAGCGAAAGUGACGGUACCUGCAGAAGAAGCGCCGGCUAACUACGUGCCAGCAGCCGCGGUAAUACGUAGGGCGCAAGCGUUGUCCGGAAUUAUUGGGCGUAAAGAGCUCGUAGGCGGCUUGUCACGUCGGGUGUGAAAGCCCGGGGCUUAACCCCGGGUCUGCAUUCGAUACGGGCUAGCUAGAGUGUGGUAGGGGAGAUCGGAAUUCCUGGUGUAGCGGUGAAAUGCGCAGAUAUCAGAGGAACACCGGUGGCGAAGGCGGAUCUCUGGGCCAUUACUGACGCUGAGGAGCGAAAGCGUGGGGAGCGAACAGGAUUAGAUACCCUGGUAGUCCACGCCGUAAACGGUGGGAACUAGGUGUUGGCGACAUUUCCACGUCGUCGGUGCCGCAGCUAACGC
rnacentral:rRNA from 1 species